CUCUUGCACGCGUCGCGGCUGACGAAAGUUAGCCUUCCGACUCGCCGCCGCGCCAACUAUAUAGCCGCCGCUGCGCGUACGCGGACAGAUCGUAUAAUAGGUAUCUAGCUCUAAAUCCGUCGUCUCGUCUCGUCCAUUCAUUCGUUUCAUUCGGACGCGCGCCGCGCACACCACUAUACAAAUAUAAUUCAAUAUCACAUUUGUGUCGUAUAAAAUAACGACCGAGCCGAAACCGUCGCACACACGUCUCCGAGCCGCCGACGACGACCACAAUACACGCACGCAUACGGGGCGACCGCACGUGACGAAGACACCGACCGACCGACCGACCGAACGACGGACACCACCGGCAGCGACGACGGACGCCACUGUCAACGACGACGACGACGACGACGACGACGACGACGACGGU